rnacentral:rRNA from 1 species
UGCCAGCAGCCGCGGUAAUACGGAGGGUGCGAGCGUUAAUCGGAAUCAUUGGGCGUAAAGCGGGUGUAGGCGGUUAGGCAAGUCGAGUGUGAAAUCCCAGGGCCCAACCCUGGAACCGCACUCGAUACUGCCUAACUAGAGUCCCGGAGAGGGUGGCGGAAUUCCCGGUGUAGAGGUGAAAUUCGUAGAUAUCGGGAGGAACACCAGUGGCGAAGGCGGCCACCUGGACGGUGACUGACGCUGAGACGCGAAAGCGUGGGGAGCGAACGGGAUUAGAUAC